UUGUAUGUACAAUGGGUAUUUUACUUUUAUAUAUAUAUAGAGAGAGAGAGAGAGAGUUGAGCUAGAAUACUUGUAAAAGUAUUAUGUGAGUGGUGCUUUUGAGUUUUUAGUCAUUGGAUGGAGAGAUGUGAGGUUGAGAUGAUGGUGGUAGGUGGUGGUAGGUGGUGGUAGGUGGAAUAAUGUUUGAUCAAAGGGCUAUUAGUAAUCAAGGAGUAGAUCCAAUGGCUAAAAACCUAAUAGCAUCAUGGAGGUAAUACUUGUAAAAGUAUUCUAGCUUAAUUUUAUAUAUAUAUAUAUAUAUAUAUAGAGUCCGUCUCCCGUACUUUCGAAAGUACGGGAGGCCCCGUGCUUGUAAGUUGUUUUCGAUGAUAGGAUGUUCAAUUCGACGAUCGGCUCCGUUAGAUAUGAUCUACCCUAUUGGAACUAUCUAGAAACCAAAUUUUAGAUUUUUUUGACAUCAUUUACUAAGCGAUCAAAAGGUCUAGAAAAUGACUAUUUUAACGGUCGAUGUGGCACAUUUUUAAGUUCAACGGUGUAGAAGUAUCCAAAUUACAUGAAAAUUUAAUAGAAAAUUCUACUUAAUAUCAAUAGCAAGAUCAAUACUUCCGAUUUAAAAUUUGAAUCCUUUAUCACUGUUUUUUAUGAGAUUUUCAUUUUCAGCCGUUCAUUUUGAGGCUACUCGUUCACUAGACAAACGAAAUCAAAAAAUUAUGAAAUUUGGUUUCUAGAUAGCUCCAAUAGUGUAGAUCAAGUUUAACGGAACCGAUCGCCGAAUCGGAUGUCCCAUCAUCGAAAACAACUUACAAGCACGGGGCCUCCCGUACUUUCGAAAGCAUAGGAGCCUAGCUCUAUAUAUAUAUAUAUAUAUAUAUAUAUAUAUAUAUAUAUAUAUAU
rnacentral:lncRNA from 1 species